rnacentral:rRNA from 1 species
ACACUCCUGCGGGAGGCAGCAGUGGGGAAUUUUGGACAAUGGGCGAAAGCCUGAUCCAGCCAUGCCGCGUGCAGGAUGAAGGCCUUCGGGUUGUAAACUGCUUUUGUACGGAACGAAACGGCCUUUUCUAAUAAAGAGGGCUAAUGACGGUACCGUAAGAAUAAGCACCGGCUAACUACGUGCCAGCAGCCGCGGUAAUACGUAGGGUGCAAGCGUUAAUCGGAAUUACUGGGCGUAAAGCGUGCGCACGCGGUUAUGUAAGACAGUUGUGAAAUCCCCGGGCUCAACCUGGGAACUGCAUCUGUGACUGCAUAGCUAGAGUACGGUAGAGGGGGAUGGAAUUCCGCGUGUAGCAGUGAAAUGCGUAGAUAUGCGGAGGAACACCGAUGGCGAAGGCAAUCCCCUGGACCUGUACUGACGCUCAUGCACGAAAGCGUGGGGAGCAAACAGGAUUAGAUACCCUGGUAGUCCCAUGA